rnacentral:rRNA from 1 species
AUACGUAGGGGGCGAGCGUUGUCCGGAAUGAUUGGGCGUAAAGGGCGCGUAGGCGGCCCGGUAAGUCUGGAGUGAAAGUCCUGUUUUUAAGAUGGGAAUUGCUUUGGAUACUGUCGGGCUUGAGUGCAGGAGAGGUAAGUGGAAUUCCCAGUGUAGCGGUGAAAUGCGUAGAGAUUGGGAGGAACACCAGUGGCGAAGGCGACUUACUGGACAGUAACUGACGCUGAGGCGCGAAAGUGUGGGGAGCAAACAGGAUUAGAUACCCUGGUAGUCCACACUGUAAACGAUGAAUGCUAGGUGUAGGGGGUAUCGACCCCUUCUGUGCCGCAGUCAACACAAUAAGCAUUCCGCCUGGGGAGUACGGCCGCAAGGUUGAAACUCAAAUGAAUUGACGGGG